rnacentral:rRNA from 1 species
UACGGAGGGUGCAAGCGUUAAUCGGAAUUACUGGGCGUAAAGCGCACGCAGGCGGUCUGUCAAGUCGGAUGUGGAAUCCCCGGGCUCAACCUGGGAACUGCAUUCGAAACUGGCAGGCUGGAGUCUUGUAGAGGGGGGUAGAAUUCCAGGUGUAGCGGUGAAAUGCGUAGAGAUCUGGAGGAAUACCGGUGGCGAAGGCGGCCCCCUGGACAAAGACUGACGCUCAGGUGCGAAAGCGUGGGGAGCAAACAGGAUUAGAUACCCUGGCAGUCCACGCUGUAAACGAUGUCGACUUGGAGGUUGUUCCCUUGAGGAGUGGCUUCCGGAGCUAACGCGUUAAGUCGACCGCCUGGGGAGUACGGCCGCAAGGUUAAA